rnacentral:rRNA from 1 species
UACGGGGGGGCAAGCGUUGUUCGGAAUUACUGGGCGUAAAGGGCUCGUAGGCGGCCAACUAAGUCAGACGUGAAAUCCCCAGGCUCAACCUGGGAACUGCGUCUGAUACUGGAUGGCUUGAAUCCGGGAGAGGGAUGCAGAAUUCCAGGUGUAGCGGUGAAAUGCGUAGAUAUCUGGAGGAAUACCGGUGGCGAAGGCGGCAUCCUGGACCCGGCAUUGACGCUGAGGAGCGAAAGCCAGGGGAGCAAACGGG